rnacentral:rRNA from 1 species
AUCGAACGCUGGCGGCAGGCCUAACACAUGCAAGCCGAGCGAGGGGCGGACGGGAGUGUAAUGUAUGGGGUCUGCCCUAUAGAGGGGGAUAACCAUUGGAAAAUGUAGCUAAGAUCGCAUAUAAUCGGAUCACACAUAUAGGAUUUGCUAGUAGGUGUGGUAAUGGCUCACCCAGGCGACGAUCCCUAGCUGGUCUGAGAGGAUGAUCAUGCACACUGGGACUGAUACCCGGCCCAGGCUCCUACGGAGGCAGCAGAGGGCAAUAAUGCACACUGGGCGCAAGCCUGAUGUAGCCGUGCCGCGUGUAUGAAGAGGGCGCUAGUGUUGUAAAGUACUUUCAGUCGGGAGGCUUUACCGGCAGGAGGUGCACCGGCUAAACCCGUGCCAGCAGCCGCGGUAAUAC